UGAGCCCCUAAAGCUUAUGCGCUGGUUGGUUCGUGUUCUACCCGCUUGUAGUGGCCGGUGCCCGCGCCGAUAGACUCGCCGUCCGCCAUGGACGCAGGCAAGGGGGUUAGAGAAGGAUAGCGCUUGAUCUGAGGGUCCCAGAGUAUGCGCAAGGGGCCGUAGACGCUAAACCACCCCGCCACAGGAGCCGGAGGCUCACCGAUGGCGUGCCGGAGGUCGGCCGAGCCGGUGGCGGGAAGUAGGAGGAGGAUCUGACGGGCGGGACCCGCCCGUCAGCGACCGCCUGAGGGGGGGAAACGCGCGCAGUGCCCGCGUGGGCCGGGCGGGAGCGGGCCGGCCUGCUGGCCGGAUUCCUGGGCCGCUCGCGGCAUAGUUUUGUUUUUUUUCUUUUUCUUUUUCUACAGUUUUUUAUUUAUGUUUGAUGUUGUGUAAUAAAUUAUGUGCUGCUCCAAAAAUGAUGAAAUUUUUUUGUAUAGGUUCCAUGAAAUAAGUAGAACACAAGAAAAAUAGUAGGUUUCCUUUUCUGGUAGUUUGCAAGUGUAUAAAAAUUGCCUCUUUUAUUUAAUGAAUAAAACUUCUAUGAAUUUUAAUAAUUUAGUGAUAUGUCCAAAAAUCACCAAAAUUUGUGGGAUGCCUCUGAAUAUUAUUCCCUGGCUCCACACAAAAUUUGGUGGCAUUUGGAUAAAGUUUGAAUAAAAUAUCAUUAAACCCUUAAUUAAUAAUUAAAUAAUAAUGCUAAAAUAAUUAGAUAAUAAUUAGUUAAAUCCUCAUAAUUAGGGUUUGAGUGAUUUUAGGAUUGUGUGAUGACCUGAGAUCAUUAACCCUAAUGACCUUUGGCAUUUAAUUAUUGUUUGGUCUUAAUACUUAAUUGCUAUCAUUAAUAUUUAAUUAAGAAAUAAUUAAGGUAAAUAGGAUUAACAAUUAGUUAAUUUAGGAUAAUUAUGAAUUAAGAGAAGUCUUAAUUUACAGAUGCAACCUCUCGGGUAAAGACUCUGAGUUGGUAAAUAACUUUAUUUAUUGUUUAGUCUAUGUUGCACCUAGAAGGCAAGUUGUACUCGACUUGGUCCUUCUUGUAUAUUUGUCAUACGCAUAUCAUGAGCAUUCAUCAUUUUGCGUAUAGUGUCCGUGACCGAAGGAGCGACCGUUGAGCCGAACCCCGAGGUCGGUGCUCCGUUCGAGGAAGUAGGAUCCGAGACUUGGGAAGUCUCCGAGGGUCCCUCUCUGCCCUGCAACCAAGGCAAGCCCCGGAUGCAUUAACCCCUCCUUGAAUGUUUUAAAUCCUUUAUCACUUAUGAAUUGAAAAUGCUGCAUUAGGUAGUUGAGAAUUGGGUUAACCUACUUGCUGCAUUUACUACCUUGAUAUUUGUUAUCUUGUCCUUGGCACCUGUUUUGUUUAAAACUGCGUAGUGAUGCUUAGCCCUGCUUAUUAGAUAGGUUUUCAACUAAGAAAGUUUGAAGGGUUGUUGUGGGAUACACUUAUGGUUAAUGAUGUUUCAACUUGAGACCGGUCGGUGGACUUGCUUUAAGAAUGGAGUUUUAAAGUAGUGUCUCCAACUGUGUCGGUUAAGGACCGGUCCGUUGAUGGCCUGCUGGAUUGAGAAUUUAUAGUACUAGCCACUUGCCCUCGGUAAGCCCGAUCUUGUAAUCCCUCGACGCGAACAGCUACUCGUGCACUGGGCGUGGAGCGAUGGCGAGAGUAGCGUGUACCCACCUUACGGAUCUGAGGUGACCGGGAAACAUCUAUAUCGGCUGUAGGAUGGUGGAGUACUAUGCUCUCGGGUGCCGCGAACCAGGUCAAAUUUGGGGAGAGC
rnacentral:lncRNA from 1 species